CCUACGGGAGGCAGCAGUAGGGAAUCUUCCACAAUGGGCGAAAGCCUGAUGGAGCAACGCCGCGUGGGUGAAGAAGGUCUUCGGAUCGUAAAACCCUGUUGUUAGAGAAGAAAGUGCGUGAGAGUAACUGUUCACGUUUCGACGGUAUCUACCCAGAAAGCCACGGCUAACUACGUGCCAGCAGCCGCGGUAAUACGUAGGUGGCAAGCGUUAUCCGGAUUUAUUGGGCGUAAAGGGAACGCAGGCGGUCUUUUAAGUCUGAUGUGAAAGCCUUCGGCUUAACCGGAGUAGUGCAUUGGAAACGGGGAGACUGGAGUGCAGAAGAGGAGAGUGGAACUCCAUGUGUAGCGGUGAAAUGCGUAGAUAUAUGGAAGAACACCAGUGGCGAAAGCGGCUCUCUGGUCUGUAACUGACGCUGAGGUUCGAAAGCGUGGGUAGCAAACAGGAUUAGAUACCCUAGUAGUC
rnacentral:rRNA from 1 species